CUGGCGGGCAGGCCUAACACAUGCAAGUCGAGCGGUAACACAAGGGAGCUUGCUCCUGAGGUGACGAGCGGCGGACGGGUGAGUAAUGCCUAGGGAUCUGCCCAGUCGAGGGGGAUAACAGUUGGAAACGACUGCUAAUACCGCAUACGCCCUACGGGGGAAAGGAGGGGACCUUCGGGCCUUCCGCGAUUGGAUGAACCUAGGUGGGAUUAGCUAGUUGGUGAGGUAAUGGCUCACCAAGGCGACGAUCCCUAGCUGUUCUGAGAGGAUGAUCAGCCACACUGGGACUGAGACACGGCCCAGACUCCUACGGGAGGCAGCAGUGGGGAAUAUUGCACAAUGGGGGAAACCCUGAUGCAGCCAUGCCGCGUGUGUGAAGAAGGCCUUCGGGUUGUAAAGCACUUUCAGUAGGGAGGAAAGGUGAUGUGUUAAUAGCACAUUGCUGUGACGUUACCUACAGAAGAAGGACCGGCUAACUCC
rnacentral:rRNA from 1 species